UACGUAGGGUGCAAGCGUUGUCCGGAAUUAUUGGGCGUAAAGAGCUCGUAGGCGGUUUGUCGCGUUGUCCGUGAAAUUCCCUGGCUUAACUGGGGGCGUGCGGGCGAUACGGGCAGACUGGAGUACUGCAGGGGAGACUGGAAUUCCUGGUGUAGCGGUGGAAUGCGCAGAUAUCAGGAGGAACACCGGUGGCGAAGGCGGGUCUCUGGGCAGUAACUGACGCUGGAGGAGCGAAAGCGUGGGGAGCGAACAGG
rnacentral:rRNA from 1 species